rnacentral:tRNA from 1 species
GCCCGGAUGGCGGAAUUGGUAGACGCGCUAGAUUCAGGUUCUAGUAACUAUUAUGGUUGUGGAGGUUCGAGUCCUCUUUCGGGCACCA